AAACCAACAGGGAUUGCCCUAGUAACGGCGAGUGAAGCGGCAACAGCUCAAAUUUGAAAUCUGGCCCUCGGGUCCGAGUUGUAAUUUGUAGAGGAUGCUUUUGGCGCGGUGCCUUCCGAGUUCCCUGGAACGGGACGCCUUAGAGGGUGAGAGCCCCGUACGGUUGGACACCAAGCCUCUGUAAAGCUCCUUCGACGAGUCGAGUAGUUUGGGAAUGCUGCUCUAAAUGGGAGGUAAAUUUCUUCUAAAGCUAAAUAUUGGCCAGAGACCGAUAGCGCACAAGUAGAGUGAUCGAAAGAUGAAAAGCACUUUGAAAAGAGGGUUAAAUAGUACGUGAAAUUGUUGAAAGGGAAGCGUUUGCGACCAGACCUUUUCCUAGCGGAUCAUCCGGUGUUCUCACCGGUGCACUUCGCUAGGUUUAGGCCAGCAUCGGUUUCCACAGGGGGAUAAAAGCUCUGGGAACGUAGCUCUUUCGGGAGUGUUAUAGCCCUCUGCAUAAUACCCUUGUGGGGACCGAGGACCGCGCUUCGGCAAGGAUGCUGGCGUAAUGGUCGUCAACGAC
rnacentral:rRNA from 1 species